CAAAAUACAGCGGUAUAAUAAUGGAGAAUGCCGUGCAGCACUUAGCAAUAGAAAAGCAUGGGUAAUGAGGGACUUAAUUUGGAACAUAUCAUUUGUCAGAUAAUUUGGAGGCACAUCUCAAAACAGUGCACAAGAAUGGAGUUUGCUGUACCAGCUGAAGUCACCCCAAAUGUUCUUUCUUUGUUACAAGUCCCUUUUUAAAUCUAAGCCUUCAGAAAAGAACCUGGAACUGAUAAAUGGCAUAAAAGAAUAAAUGUUCACAACAAAUAUUUUGGGUUUGGUUCAAACACAGUGUUAGAAAGCUGAAUUAAUUGUGUUUGUAUCAAACCCAAAUAUAUUUUAUGAAACAAUGAGGCCUCUUAAAUGACUAACUGCUGCCCAGAAUACAUUUUCCCUGAACCAAACUGGAUAACAGUUUCCCUCUUAAAUUGGUCAGAACUGGCUGCCAAAUGACAAUUCUGUGUCCCAUAUUUAUUCACCAUCUGUGACUUCCACAUCAAUUUGCUCAUUCUGAAAAUCAAAACUUGAGCUUUUUUCUCCCACAACCUCUUUCUUUUCCCUCCUCUACCAGAGCUGAAGGGUAAACCCAGUGUGAAAACCAAAGAGAGCUUUUUGUAGCCAGUACACAAGGCACGAUGGAGGGGGACGAGUUCCUCUGCAGCUCUGCUGGCUUCGUGCAGUAGAUGAGUUUUGCUUAUGUCAAUGGUCUAUAGAUGAGCAGCAGGUGGGAGGAAUUCCUCCAAGUGACCUGUAUUAUCCCAGAUGAAUGGUAGAGAGCAUAGGAGGUAAAAGGGAAAGGGGAGGAGUAAAUGUGCCUGUUUGUGGCAUCCUUUACCAACAUGAAAGGCUGCAUUUACUUGGCAAGUGGCAGCUUAUGAUGGAAGCUACCAGCUCCUGAAAGGAGGAGAAUUGGGAAAAUUGAUCCUGGGUAGUAGUCAUCCAACAUCACUGCAUUCCUUCUAUUUCUGUUCUUAAGAAACACUUGGCAUUUUGUGGCUACAUAGCAAGCCUCUGCAUACACCUCCAUGCUCAUCAUCCCCCUGACAUUGGCAGAGGUUGGGCCUGAAGAGCGUGACACCCACAGAGAGAUAUUCUUCUUUGUGCAUCUCACAACACAAGAAACAUUGAGGCACUCAGGAGCACUAAUGGCAGCUCAGCCUAUGAUGAGGAGACAGGAAAAGCUGCUUCAUGCAGAAUGCAAUCAGGCAAUGAAACCCCCACGCUGCUGAGAGGUCAGGGAGCCCAAGCUAUGCUGGACUUAGGGGUGACUCUAGCACUGUAGUUACAAGAACUCAGAGUGCUCAAAGCUCAGGUGAUAAAGGAACAUUAGAGGAAUGAAACCCUCAAAAGGAAUUUUUCUUGCUCUUCCAUCCCCUUUUGCAAAACCAACACUCCUGCAGCUUGCAAGGAAAACUCCCCAAGGGAAGGAUCUCCAGGAACAGAAC
ensembl:lncRNA